UGAAAAUCUAUAAUUUCAUCAUCAAUAAAAAUUUUAGAUCCACACCAUGAAUUUCUCACACAGGGUGGGUACUUGCCUACAACAAAUUCAAGUUAAGUAUUAGUCAAUUAAUGAAUAAUUAUAUAAGAAUUAGAAGAUCUAUAACAAUAAAUAAUACAUUGUCCUUCCUUGACUCUCACAUGUGUCAACAAAAUGAUCAUAGGUUCAUGGAUUGUUUGGUAAUUGCAAGAGUUAAAAAACUUCAUAGCAUGGGAUUCCCAUAGAGUACAGGCGAUGAUAUCACCACUGAUUAAAAAUUAUAAGUAAAAACUUUGAAUAAAAUAAAAUAAGUAAAUAAGUAAGAAAAAAAACAAAAUAGCAUUUUUACUUACGUAGAAUCUCUGAGAUUGAUAAUCACCUUCUUUAAAAUUGCUUAGGUUUGAGACUCAACUUUAUCCAUCACCAAGAUAUUCAAGAGUGUGAUAAUCAAACAUAGGAAACAUAUAAAAUUACAAUAUG
rnacentral:lncRNA from 1 species